AGAGUUUCGAGUCCUGGCUCAGGACGAACGCUGGCGGCGUGCCUAAUACAUGCAAGUCGAGCGGACCGAACGGGAGCUUGCUUUCGUCGGUUAGCGGCGGACGGGUGAGUAACACGUGGGUAACCUGCCCGUAAGACCGGGAUAACUCCGGGAAACCGGGGCUAAUACCGGAUAACACCGAAGACCGCAUGGUCUUCGGUUGAAAGGUGGCUUUUGCUACCACUUACGGAUGGGCCCGCGGCGCAUUAGCUAGUUGGUGAGGUAACGGCUCACCAAGGCGACGAUGCGUAGCCGGCCUGAGAGGGUGACCGGCCACACUGGGACUGAGACACGGCCCAGACUCCUACGGGAGGCAGCAGUAGGGAAUCUUCCGCAAUGGACGAAAGUCUGACGGAGCGACGCCGCGUGAGCGAAGAAGGUCUUCGGAUCGUAAAGCUCUGUUGUUAGGGAAGAAGAAGUACCGUUCGAAUAGGGCGGUACGGUGACAGUACCUAACGAGAAAGCCCCGGCUAACUACGUG
rnacentral:rRNA from 1 species